GACGAACGCUGGCGGCGUGCUUAACACAUGCAAGUCGAACGGAAAGGCCCUGCUUUUGUGGGGUGCUCGAGUGGCGAACGGGUGAGUAACACGUGAGUAACCUGCCCUUGACUUUGGGAUAACUUCAGGAAACUGGGGCUAAUACCGGAUAGGAGCUCCUGCUGCAUGGUGGGGGUUGGAAAGUUUCGGCGGUUGGGGAUGGACUCGCGGCUUAUCAGCUUGUUGGUGGGGUAGUGGCUUACCAAGGCUUUGACGGGUAGCCGGCCUGAGAGGGUGACCGGGCACAUUGGGACUGCGGUACGGCCCAGACUCCUACGGGAGGCAGCGGGGGGGAAUAUUGCACAAUGGGGGGAAGCCUGAUGCAACAACGCCGGGUGCGGGAUGACGGCCUUCGGGGUGUAAACCGCUUUCGCCUGUGACGAAGCGUGAGUGACGGUAAUGGGUAAAGAAGCACCGGCUAACUACGUG
rnacentral:rRNA from 1 species